AUUGAACGCUGGCGGCAUGCCUUACACAUGCAAGUCGAACGGCAGCACGGGAGCAAUCCUGGUGGCGAGUGGCGAACGGGUGAGUAAUAUAUCGGAACGUGCCCAGUCGUGGGGAUAACGUAGCGAAAGCUACGCUAAUACCGCAUACGAUCUAUGGAUGAAAGCGGGGGAUCGCAAGACCUCGCGCGAUUGGAGCGGCCGAUAUCAGAUUAGGUAGUUGGUGAGGUAAAGGCUCACCAAGCCGACGAUCUGUAGCUGGUCUGAGAGGACGACCAGCCACACUGGGACUGAGACACGGCCCAGACUCCUACGGGAGGCAGCAGUGGGGAAUUUUGGGACAAUGGGCGCAAGCCUGAUCCAGCAAUGCCGCGUGCAGGAUGAAGGCCUUCGGGUUGUAAAC
rnacentral:rRNA from 1 species